AGGAUGAACGCUAGCGGCAGGCCUAACACAUGCAAGUCGAGGGGUAUAGGGAGCUUGCUCUCUAGAGACCGGCGCACGGGUGCGUAACGCGUAUGCAAUCUACCUUAUACAGGGGAAUAGCCCAGGGAAACUUGGAUUAAUGCCCCAUAGUCUAUAGAAUCGGCAUUGUUUUUAUAGUAAAGAUUUAUCGGUAUAAGAUGAGCAUGCGUCCCAUUAGCUAGUUGGUGUGGUAACGGCACACCAAGGCAACGAUGGGUAGGGCCCUGAGAGGGGGAUCCCCCGACACUGGUACUGAGACACGGACCAGACUCCGUACGGGAGGCAGCAGUGAGGAAUAGUUGACAAUGGGCACAAGCCUGACUCCAGCCAUCGCCGCGUGCAGGAAGCUGCCCUAGUGGUUAUAAACGUCGUACCUUUUUUAACGGGAACG
rnacentral:rRNA from 1 species